CGCCUGCGCGGGGUAUGUCAAUGGUUUUUACCUUUCAGACUAGAGAACAAAGUACACAGGAGAGACACCUGUGACAUACAUUAUUUUGGAUACACAAUUCUGUGAAUAUUAUUGUCAACACCAAAGGGCCUAAAUCUAGCGAAACAACUACCUGGGUGGGUGAACAAACGUGGAGGAACUGGGCUCUGAGGAUUUAAUGGAUACUGUUUGCCAAAUGGAUUGUACCUGAAGUCGGAGAGAAGGUUGUCAACGGAACUACCAGCCAGGACUCCAUUUUGGAGAAAAGGUUGUCAACGGAACUACCAGCCAGGACUCCAUUUUGGAGAAAAGGUUGUCAACGGAACUACCAGCCAGGACUCCAUUUUGGAGAAAAGGUUGUCAACGGAACUACCAGCCAGGACUCCAUUUUGGAGAAAAGGUUGUCAACGGAACUACCAGCCAGGACUCCAUUUAGGAGAAAAGGUUGUCAACGGAACUACCAGCCAGGACUCCAUUUUGGAGAAACGGCAGCUGAUCACCAUGGAGCCCCCGGAGGACUCCCAGUGCCCGUUGAUGUUCUGGGAGAGAAUGAAGCAUUGCAGCAGUUCUUUGACGAUGUAAGUGGGUCCAGUGGGCCUGACAUGCUGGCCUUGAUGUGGGCCAUGAC
ensembl:lncRNA